AAGUAUUACUAAUAUACACAUGGUAACGGUUAUGGAUACUUACUAAACACUGGUGUAAUCUGACACUUAUUGUAUUUUCGAUAUAAAGAUGUGGUGUUCUGACCACAAUAUUUUAUCUAGAUCAUAUUAUAGUAUUGUGAUCCCAUGGUCUGUAUUCUCCAGGAGGAAACCUUGGGUUUCUUGGUUCAUGCAUUUUAAUGUUUGAGAAUCAUAUAUAAGGGGGACACCUUGUUUACCUUUGCUUCUGACUGUGUAACAUAUCGCUAGACAAAACUAACAAUACUAAAUUGUAAUGGACUUAAUGGACCACUAUAGGCACCCAGAUCACUUCAGCUCAGUGAAGUGGUCUGGGUGACAAGUCCCCCUAAUUUUAACCCUUCAGCUGAAAACAUAGCCAUUUCUGGAAAACGGCUAUGUUUACACUGCAGGGUUCGUCCAGUCUCUAAUGGCUGUCUCCCUGACAGCCAUUAGAGGCCGCUUCCUCGAUUUACACUAAGUAAAUCACACUUAUUUGACACUGGACAUCCUCACAGAGUCCAGUGUCAUCUCAGAUCCCAAUAGGAAAGUAUUGAGUAAUGCCUUCCUAUGGGCGGGUUUGAAUGCGCAUGCCUCUGGCCCCGCUUGCGCUUUCAGCUCCACUCAGGAGCUUACGUCAGUGGGGGAGGAGAGGUCACCAGUGCCGAGGGAGCUCGGCAUUGGAUUAAGGUAAGUGGCUAAAGGGAUUUUAACCCUUUCAGCGCCGAGGGAGAGGGGCCCCAAGGGAGGAGCGCACUCCAAGAGCCUAUAGUCCCAGGUUUUCCUGGCACCAUAGGAUCGCUUUAGUGGUAAAAUUAAAUUGUGAUUCGAUUAUAUGCGGUGGUCUUUUAUUUUCAUAUAAAAUGUUAUGCGUAUAAGAUACAUAAGUCAAUGAAUUCAGAAAAUUAUUAAAAGUAUCAUAGCUAUUUUCAUAUCCAUAAAGGUGUAUGUGCAUUCAUCUGGUUUCAUAUUCCAAAUCAUUAAAUCCAGAAUAUCUCAUAUAGUAUAUUGAUGUAAAUCUUGUAAUUACAUAACGGUAUAUUGUUUGCAUAAUUGUGUAAAAUGUAUGACUUUAAUAUUUCUCCAUUUCUGAUUUCUGGGCAUUUGUCUCAGAGAUCUCCAACACGUCCGAGACAGGGAAAUGGUUAGAGGAAGAGGAUUCUUUUUGAGUAGAUUAAACAUUUAUAUAAUAUCAGUUCAUUUCAAGCUGAGCUGCCUGAGCGCACUGUUUCACUGUAUAUCUGAAUAAAAUUCACCGUAAACAAUGUAACUUCAAGUAAAAUGUCUUUCCUGUAAAAAAAUAAUGAUGUUUGCUAAUAGAAGGGAAUGAAAUCUACUGGAAGAUCCAAAAUCCUUCAGUGGCUCAAAUGUUCAAAAAUAUAGGAAAUCUCUGCUAACGGCCCAUGACUAUUCGUUUAAAUAUUAUCAGUAUUAUAUAGAAAGCACCGUCCCAUUCUGUCGUUCCCUAUACUAAGUAAACAGGACAUAGAAAUAACUGUUAUAAAACAAGCUGGACGUACAGGAACAAGAGAUGGAGAUAGCCCUGCUCUAACGACCUUACAGUGAACAAAUUACACAGAAAGCUACACAUCUCAGAGAGGACAAUGGGGGAGAUUUAUCAAAUGCAAGGUCUAAUUUUCAGCAAAACGUUUGUUGCAGUUUAUUAAAUCUGUUGGAUUUUUUCAUCUGUUUUUUUUUUUUUGCAUCUCACAUGUAAUUUUUUCAAUAUAUUAACUUUCUGGGUAAAGAAAAUUCUGCUUGACUGAUCCAUUAAGGUCAAUAAAAUGA